rnacentral:rRNA from 1 species
UGGGCGUUAAGUUGCAGGGUAUAGACCCGAAACCCGGUGAUCUAGCCAUGGGCAGGUUGAAGGUUGGGUAACACUAACUGGAGGACCGAACCGACUAAUGUUGAAAAAUUAGCGGAUGACCUGUGGCUGGGGGUGAAAGGCCAAUCAAACCGGGAGAUAGCUGGUUCUCCCCGAAAGCUAUUUAGGUAGCGCCUCGUGAAUUCAUCUCCGGGGGUAGAGCACUGUUUCGGCUAGGGGGCCAUCCCGGCUUACCAACCCGAUGCAAACUGCGAAUACCGGAGAAUGUUAUCACGGGAGACACACGGCGGGUGCUAACGUCCGUCGUGAAGAGGGAAACAACCCAGACCGCCAGCUAAGGUCCCAAAGUCAUGGUUAAGUGGGAAACGAUGUGGGAAGGCCCAGACAGCCAGGAUGUUGGCUUAGAAGCAGCCAUCAUUUAAAGAAAGCGUAAUAGCUCACUGGUCGAGUCGGCCUGCGCGGAAGAUGUAACGGGGCUAAACCAUGCACCGAAGCUGCGGCAGCGACGCUUAUGCGUUGUUGGGUAGGGGAGCGUUCUGUAAGCCUGCGAAGGUGGCCUGUGAGGGUUGCUGGAGGUAUCAGAAGUGCGAAUGCUGACAUAAGUAACGAUAAAGCGGGUGAAAAGCCCGCUCGCCGGAAGACCAAGGGUUCCUGUCCAACGUUAAUCGGGGCAGGGUGAGUCGACCCCUAAGGCGAGGCCGAAAGGCGUAGUCGAUGGGAAACGGGUUAAUAUUCCCGUACUUGGUGUUACUGCGAAGGGGGGACGGAGAAGGCUAUGUUGGCCGGGCGACGGUU